rnacentral:rRNA from 1 species
UGGGGAAUCUUGCACAAUGGGCGAAAGCCUGAUGCAGCGACGCCGCGUGCGGGAUGAAGGCCUUCGGGUUGUAAACCGCUUUCAGCAGGGACGAGGCCGCAAGGUGACGGUACCUGCAGAAGAAGCCCCGGCUAACUACGUGCCAGCAGCCGCGGUAAUACGUAGGGGGCAAGCGUUAUCCGGAUUCAUUGGGCGUAAAGCGCGCGUAGGCGGUCUGUUAGGUCAGGAGUCAAAUCUGGGGGCUCAACCCCUAUCCGCUCCUGAUACCGGCAGGCUUGAGUCUGGUAUGGGAAGGUGGAAUUCCAAGUGUAGCGGUGAAAUGCGCAGAUAUUUGGAAGAACACCAGUGGCGAAGGCGACUUUCUGGACGAACACUGACGCUGAGGCGCGAAAGCCAGGGGAGCGAACGGG